rnacentral:misc_RNA from 1 species
GGAACAGUGGAGACUGGAGAUUCUUCUCUAAACUUAAGAUUGGAGAUUGAAGCAAAUCUACGUAGGCAGGCUAUAGAAAGGCUUGCCGAGGAAAAUUUAUUGCAAGGGAUCAGAUUAUUUUGUUUUCCAGAGGUUGUAAAACCUGAUGAAGAUGUCGAGAUAUUUCUUAACAGAGGUCUUUCCACUUUGAAGAAUGAGCCUGAUGUCUUGAUUAUGGGAGCUUUUAAUGAGUGGCGCUAUAGGUCUUU